rnacentral:rRNA from 1 species
GAUGAACGCUGGCGGCGUGCCUAACACAUGCAAGUCGAGCGAAGCGCCUAAAUUAGAUUACUUCGGAAUGUCGAUUCUUGUGACUGAGCGGCGCACGGGUGAGUAACGUGUGGGUAACCUGCCUCAUAGAGGGGGAUAACAGAUAGAAAUGACUGCUAUUACCGCAUAAGACCCCAGCUUCGCAUGAAGCGGUGGUAAAAUCUCUGGUGGGAUGAGAUGGACCUGCGCUUGUUUAGAUAGUUGGUAAGGUAACGGCAUACCAAGGCGACGAUCAGUAGCCGAGAUGAGAGGGUGACCCGCCACAUUGGGACUGAGACACGGCCCGGAAUCCUACGGGAGGCAGCAGUGGGGAAUAUUGCAAAAUGGGGGAAACCCUGAUGGAGCGACGACGGGUGAAGGAUGAAAUAAUUCAGUAAGAAAACUGCUAUCAACUGGGAAGAAAGUGACGGUACCUGACUAAAAAGCCCCGGCUAACUACGUG